CCCAAAGCAGCCCAGCCUCUUCCCCCCUCCUUCAUUUCCUUUACACAGAUUAUUAAUUAGGCCGCAGCAUCAGAUGAGACACAGUCACCAGCUACAUUAGAAUGAGAUUGCGUGAAUUCCCUUCCCCCGCAACUCCCAUGUGCUAACCCGGACAUGGCUGUGGUAUGGCCCCCGAGAAUAUUAUUUUCCAACCAUCUUUACCUGAUAAUAAGGACACCCUCAGGAGAAGCAUGUGAUUUUGCACACGGGAGAUGGCCUGAGGCUUCAUCCCACCCCUCUAAAGUAUCUAACACUUGCCAUCGUACAAGGUAAAGAAGAUCCUUAUAAACCUUUGCUUAAGCCUUGCAGAUAGUAAAUGAUUGGUUUCAAGCGAGACAAGAAAUGUGCGCAUGCGUUGUUUUCCCAGCUAAGCCCAACCAUUCACGCAUGCACCCACUCCCCGUUUUCCCUUUUGUGGUGCUAAGGACUGAACAAGGGGUUCACCCAUACAAACGCUUUACCCCUGGCCUCCCAGUCUAUACUUUGGUGACAUGUAAUAAUAGACUAGUUGGUGAGCCGCCUUCUAAUGGUGACUACUGAGAGACAGGAGCAAAGGGGCUUCCUGAGGGACACAGCACGGGCCCAUCUGAGGACCUGUCCCUGUGACCUUCAGGAAGCCACCUGAAUCUGAAGACCUCGGCGAACUCAACCUCACUGCAUGCUUCACUCUUGUUUCCCCAGUACCUAGGACUCUGCCUGAUGUCUAGGACACGUUCAUCAAGGUCACGCUGAGGGGGACAGGUGGGCACAAUGGACCAGGAGGAGUCUCUAAUCUGUCCUAACUUUCUACUGCUGUGUGGUUUACAGCAACAGCCAUGAGGUACACGAAGCUGCUUAAACUUAAAUUAACUGAAGCAAUGCACGUCCUUGGCCCCACUGGCCAUGUCAAGUGCCCACUGGCUGCUAUGGCUGGGGUAACGGAUGGCACAGAACUAUAGAGCCCUCAUCACCACAAAGCUCUGAGCAGGCAUGCUGUUGGGUACGUCGCAGAGUGACAGGAGCACACUGUGCCCGUGAAAACACAACCCCAGAAACUUCUAGAAACUUCUAGUCCAGAAACUUCCGUUGAUGGAGCUCAAGGGAAUCUGAAGAAAGAGAGCAUUCCCUCCAAGAAAUCAGUGUAUCUUGAAAGGCCCGUUUCUCGUAGAGAAACCUAGAGCCUCUGGCAAACUAUGCUUAGCAACUGGGCAUCACAUCGCCAAGAGCAGAGUGGGGCUGUAUUAUGACCAUGUAUUUGGCGAUACAGUUUUAGAUACAAGAUCAAAAUCAUAAACCGUUAAAGGAAGCGGUAGAUAAGCUGGAUUCCAUUAACCUAUUGAAAUGUCUGCCUGCAGAAGAGACAGUUGAGGGAGGUAAGACAAUUCACAGGCUAGGGAAUUCAUUUUCCUUUCAAAAUACAUAACCAGCAGAGGGUUUAAACUCCCAGUGCGGAGGCUCACACUCUCAGUGCUUAAGAGCAUGGGUUGCUAUUACAGAGAAUCCAAGUUCAGUUCCUAGCGCCCACACUGGGCUUUACCACCAUCGGUGGCUCCGGUGGUUCAGGGAGUUCCGAUGCCUUCUUCUGAGCUCCACAGGCACCAAACGCACAUGUGAUGCACACACACACAUGCAGCCAAAACAUUCAUAUAUAAAAGAAGACAUAAAUCUAGUUCACUGUCUGAUUAAGAACAUUGUUUCGUUUGCUUACUUUUUUGCUUGGUUGCUUGAGUGUGUGUGGGUGUUUGUGUGUGUGUGGGGGGUGCCAGGUACGGAACCCAGGCCCCUGUGCAUGUGAGGCGAGUACUCUGUCAGUGGGCUACAUUCCAGAGCUUCUAGUAAGAACAUCCUUGGGAGGACUGGUGAUGUGGCUCAGUGGGUAGAGGUGCCUGCCACCAAGCCUGACGACCUGAAGUGGAUGGAUCCUUACAGACACUGUAAGUGAUCCUGGCAGGAAUAAGAAUCUUCAGGAAACACAGUAUCUGACCAUUGGCUGUCAGAGGACUGGAAACAAUGGUCUCUGAGAAACUGGAAUUUCCUGAGAAUCUAAUGCUGGGAGAAAGAGAAAGCUCGAGGCCGGUGCCACCCAGAGCAGGGACACGCCUCCUGGAAAGUGGUUACACAGCUCGGGCCACUCUUCUGAGGAUGUUGCAGGAAAGAGUGAGUCUGGGGUAAAUUAAAGACAGCCCACAGGCCUUGUACUCGACCACCAGACAGAAACAUAUCUACAGAAAUGACAGCCACGUACCCAAAGGUAUUUCUCAGCAGUUUUCAAAAUUCCAUCUGAGCCCUACAUUGUAAUUUCAAACACAAACAAUUCAUCCUGAAAGACCUUCUUGUGGCUUCUAGGAACCACAUCCACAGCAACAAAGGACACAUGGACUCCCCGGCUGGCUCCCCGGGUGCCCUUUAUAAAGUGCCAUUCACUCAGUGCACAGUGAGUUUACUCUUAAUCUUGGCCCACAGGAUGGGAGACCUUCGAGCCUUCUCAGGCCCAAGUCAACCUCAGGAGGGAGGCUGACCUGAGGACUGACCUCAGCCCCCCCUCCCUCCCCCAUCUCCUGUUGCCAUAGAAACCCGAGCUAACAGCUCAUGUUGACAAGUGUAUCUAUGGCAACUCACAGCCGACACCAUACUUCUUUCCGCUUCUGCCUCCAAACCCAGUAUUGAGAAACCAUGGGUAACACCGAGGAGUUUAUAAAUCAACGGGGCAGGCACACCCGAGAGCUCUGCUUGUAAAAGCCCUGGAUAUGUUAAGUGUCCAGCGGGGUUCUUUUGACAGACACUCUCUUAAAUUAACUUUUUUUUUUUUUAGGACACAUGAUUUUUUAAAAGGUAUUUCUUUUAAACUUCACGUUGAAACAAUUAGAUGAUUCUUAGGAUGCAAAUGCAGCUAAUUAAUUAACGUGAGUAUGGGCUCAACCCUAAGUCAUCUGUAGUGUUUAAUGAAAGCGGGUCUCCGGGUCUGUCCUUUUAGGGAGGGGAAUUUGAGUUUACUAAGAAUGGGUUUUAAUAAGAACUGAAGCAUGCAAACUGAGCCUGAGGGUGUGUGUGUGUGUGUGUGUGUGUGUGUGUGUGUGUGUGUGUGCGCGCGCGCGCGCGCGUGUGUGUGUGUGUGUGUGUGUGUGUGUGUGUAAAAGGACAGCAGUACACACCCUAGAGUGGGCAUGAGUUCUCUAGGGUGCCAUCUCAAGGGUAUCAUAAAAUCCAAGCCUGGUGUGGCGGCGCGGGCCUUUAAUCUCAGCACUCUGGAAGCAGAGACAGGUGGGUCUGUGAGUUUGAGGCCAGCCUGGUCUACAUCGUGAGUUCCAGAACAGCCGAGGUCCACAGAAAGAGCCUGUCUCCCUACUCCCCCACCAGAGAUAAUAAUUCAGCUGGGCGCGCGACAGUCAAAGGAAUGCAGCACAGGACUCCGCCAUCUGUGCAAAGGAUGCGGAAGGAAUGAAAAUGGAGCUUGGUGACUGAUCUCAUCGCCUUCCUUUGCCCUCUCAAAACCAUUCAGAAGCAGCUUUCCCAAACCACGGCCUCCUGCACGGGGCUUCAUCAGCACCCCUUGCUCCCUGAAGAAGGGCAAGUAAAGAAAUCCAGGAGGCUGAGGCAGGAGUACUACCAGGAGUUCAUGACCAACCUGGCUACAGAAUGAGACACAGAGGCUGGAGAGAGGGCUAAGCACUGACAGCUUUUUGCAGAGGAUCAAAUUUCCGCUCCCAGCACCCACUCAAGUGGCUCACAACCGUCUGGAAUUCCAGUUCCAAGGGAUCCAUCGCCCUCUUCUGGCCUCUCCUGGAACUGCAUUGCAAGCAGACUAAGUAUAGGCAAAACACAUACAAAAUAAAAAUAAAUACAUCUCAAAAAGAAACUUAAAAAAAAAACAAAACAAUGGAGCAAAAACUAGGUUUGGAUUACAUCAUACGGCAGAAGUGACAGAAAG
rnacentral:sRNA from 1 species